GGUCUUAUAGUAAAAAGAUAAUAUUAGAUUGCAAAUCUAAAGAUGUGUUAAAACACUGAGACUU
rnacentral:tRNA from 1 species